CUGUGUCCAACUCUUCCUCACAGGUUAGUUAAUGACAGACAGUCAGUGAGUGUGUCUGUGUCCAACUCUUCCUCACAGGUUAGUUAAUGACAGACAGUCAGUGAGUGUGUCUGUGUCCAACUCUUCCUCACAGGUUAGUUAAUGACAGACAGUCAGUGAGUGUGUCUGUGUCCAACUCUUCCUCACAGGUUAGUUAAUGACAGACAGUCAGUGAGUGUGUCUGUGUCCAACUCUUCCUCACAGGUUAGUUAAUGAUGUUACUGAGUCAAUGUGAGCAGAUUGUGUCUGUAGACUGAAGAGAAUCAGAGUCUCACUGAUGGUGGAAAUAAAGGUUUUACUUCCUUAAAACA